rnacentral:lncRNA from 1 species
GAAUUCUACAAGAUUUAUGUUUUUUAAAAAAAAACUAUCUGCACAUUUUAUUAUAAAAUUUAUAUUUUAUAUUCUAUUAUAAAAAUAUUAAAUUUUAUUUUAUAUUUUUAGUAUUAAAUGAUAAGAUAAGUGAGUAAAUUCAGAUCUGAAUAAGAUUAGAUUGUAAAUCUUAGAUCUAAUUUAAAUGCAUACGAGUAGUAUUG